UAGGGAAUCUUCCGCAAUGGGCGAAAGCCUGACGGAGCAACGCCGCGUGAGUGAUGAAGGUCUUCGGAUCGUAAAACUCUGUUAUUAGGGAAGAACAAAUGUGUAAGUAACUAUGCACGUCUUGACGGUACCUAAUCAGAAAGCCACGGCUAACUACGUGCCAGUAGCCGCGGUAAUACGUAGGUGGCAAGCGUUACCCGGAAUUAUUGGGCGUAAAGCGCGCGUAGGCGGUUUUAUAAGUCUGAUGUGAAAGCCAACGGAUCAACCGUGGAGGGUCAUUGGAAACUGGAAAACUUGAGUGCAGAAGAGGAAGGUGGAAUUCCAUGUGUAGCGGUGAAAUGCGCAGAGAUAUGGAGGAACACCAGUGGCAAAGGCGACUUUCUGGUCUGUAACUGACGCUGAUGUGCGAAAGCGGGGGGAUCAAACAGG
rnacentral:rRNA from 1 species